CCUACGGGGGGCUGCAGUGGGGAAUAUUGGACAAUGGGGGGAACCCUGAUCCAGCCAUGCCGCGUGUGUGAAGAAGGCCCUCGGGUUGUAAAGCACUUUCAGUGAGGAAGAACGCCUGGUGGUUAAUACCCAUCAGGAAAGACAUCACUCACAGAAGAAGCACCGGCUAACUCCGUGCCAGCAGCCGCGGUAAUACGGAGGGUGCGAGCGUUAAUCGGAAUUUCUGGGCGUAAAGCGCGCGUAGGUGGCUUGAUAAGCCGGUUGUGAAAGCCCCGGGCUCAACCUGGGAACGGCAUCCGGAACUGUCAAGCUAGAGUGCAGGAGAGGAAGGUAGAAUUCCCGGUGUAGCGGUGAAAUGCGUAGAGAUCGGGAGGAAUACCAGUGGCGAAGGCGGCCUUCUGGACUGACACUGACACUGAGGUGCGAAAGCGUGGGUAGCAAACAGGAUUAGAUACCCUGGUAGUC
rnacentral:rRNA from 1 species